UACGGAGGAGGCAAGCGUUAUCCGGAAUUAUUGGGCGUAAAGCGUCCGCAGGUGGCACUUCAAGUCUGUCGUCAAAGACCGGGGCUUAACCCCAGAAAGGCAGUGGAAACUGAAGUGCUAGAAUGCAGUAGGGGUAGAGGGAAUUCCCGGUGUAGCGGUGAAAUGCGUAGAGAUCGGGAAGAACAUCGGUGGCGAAAGCGCUCUGCUGGACUGCAACUGACACUCAGGGACGAAAGCUAGGGGAGCGAAUGGG
rnacentral:rRNA from 1 species